rnacentral:rRNA from 4 species
UCUAAUACCGGAUACGACUACCGACCGCAUGGUCUGGUGGUGGAAAGCUCCGGCGGUGAAGGAUGAGCCCGCGGCCUAUCAGCUUGUUGGUGGGGUGAUGGCCUACCAAGGCGACGACGGG